GUGAUGGAAUAUCACUCUUCUGAAUAACUUAUGCCAAAUAAGUCUCCAUCUUGAUAGCAGAAUCACUCUAAAGUCUUUUUUUUUUAUCCUUAGUGGCUUUGAAGAAGCAAGCUGCAAUAAAUCCUAUAGCUUCAAGAAAAUCAAUUCUCCUGACAAGUCAACUGCAAUUUUUUUUCCUGUUUUACUGCAAAUGUGGAUUUUACUCCCACCUCUACGGGCCUUCAAGAUGUGAGAAAAAGAAUGCAUACAUAUGUGUAACCGGGUCACUUUUCUGUAAGUAGAAAUUGAUAGAACACUGCAUACCAACU
rnacentral:lncRNA from 1 species